CAACAAAUCUAUGAAAAUGACAAGUUCCACGCUAUAUUCAAGAAGAAGAAGGAACUCAAGAACUUCCUGGAAUAUGAGAAAUAAGAUCAUGAUGGAACCUGAUAUCCAUCUCUCAAGUAAGAGACUAAUUUCAUAAGGUGGGGAAAAGGAAGUAAAAUACACCAUACAUCAAAUUUCUCAACACGUGAUACUGAAAAACCAUCACAUCCAUGCUCAAGAAAAAGGAUUCAGACCAUGAACUCCUACAUACAAGCAUCUAGCCUAAUGUACAGUUACCAACAAAAGACAAUCUUCACAUUCCAUUCAAUCAAUAGAACUAACUCAACCAACUGUUGUGUAUAUUAAAAAAGUAAAUGAUCAGCCAAUUACCAUACAACAUCCAUCCCACAAUCUAGGCAUUCAUAAUUUCCAACGCAACUUUAAGGAACAUUAACCCAUCACAACUCACUUAAUCCGGCAACAAACCAUAUAAGGCAAGCUAUCUAACUCCUGAUCCAUCUCACAUUGCAGUGUACAAGCUGAUACACAGGCAUUCAAGGCAUUCAGAAUCAAACCCUCCUAGGCUCAGGAUCAAGAACAAACCACAAAAUUCGUUCAAAUUACAAAAUGUUCUACACCCAUUGAAAAGAGCAAUAAUUUAAUAUUUCAUUUUCCAAGUCAUUAAAUGUACAAAUUUGUCUUAAAACAUCCCGACAUUAAAAAGCUACAGUAUGGAAACAGACACUCCCAAUACAAAUGACAUGUUGGGUAAUGCCCCCACUGCUGCAGCCAGUAUGACGAGGAGGAUCUAAUCAUCUUGACGUUCCCAACAGCUAUACAUAAACCGGUUUUUAGUAGAUUUAUACAUGUUGCCUUCUUGUUUUGACAGGAUGUAGACAAAAAAAGGGGUUGCAACGAAAACCAACAAGCCCAAAACUUGUUGCAAAAACAAACUGAGAUGAAAGAUGAGCAUACUUUGCUCCCAUCAGCCUCUUAGAGGACCUGAAAUAAGAUAGAUUUGAACCACAAUUAUUUCAUUAAAAAUAGCAUUUAUACAUACCUUGUUGCUGUCCUGUUCUCUUAUCUUUGAUCAAAGCAACCUCUAUCACUUUUCCAUGUUGCUCAAACAACGGGCGAAUAUCUUCUUCUGUAACAGUCCUUGGAACAGAUCCCACAAAGAGCUUGGCAAAGCUACCACCAUCAAAACGAUCAGGAGAACUUCCGCGGCCAGCAAAUGGAUACCCUCGUUUAUGCCCUGAUAGAGGCUGAGUAGGAGGCGGCAGGGCCUGGUAAUUAGACCCAAAUCCUGCACCUCCGCCACCCAAUGGCGGAAAUACUCCACUACCAGGGGUGCCGCCUCCCAAAGAUCCAAAUUCUCCUACACCUACAGCUCCAGCAGCAGGAGGAGGAUGACGAGGAGGACUGUCGAAUGGGCGGUGACCACCACCACCACCAUUAUGAAAGUUGUUGGGACUCCGACGGUCAUAAUUGCUGGAGGUAUUGCUACCAUUGGUGGAAUAGCGAUUGACGGGAGCAUCAGAAAACCGGGAGGGUCCGUCUGAGAAGCGAGAAGAUCGACGAUUAUGAUAGGACUCUUGGUUGUAGGGAGUGUUGGUAGCGUUGUUGCUGAAGCUACCGUAGCGGUCUCCCCUAUGCCUAUCCAUGGAAGUACGGAGAAAUGUAGAACCCUAAUUUAAAGAAAUUGUGGGCUCUAGAAUAUGGGAAGAGAAGGAAGGUUAGACUCAAAGAGAGCUGCUGAGGAGAGGACAGGAGAAGCAGAGCAUGGUGAUUGGUGAC
rnacentral:misc_RNA from 1 species